CUGACCGCAAAGAAGCCUGGGGGGGGUGGGGAUGCAGAUGAAGGGGAGGGUAUGAGUGAGCCCCCCCCCCCCCGUUCAUGGUCUGAGUGCCUGCAAAAGUGGGCAGAAGUAGGUUUUGGGGGGCCUUGGGAACAGCCCUCCAGGUCUAGGCAUGUGGAUCCUGCCUGGCGUGUGGACCCCUCCUCGCUGUGGGACCCCUGUGGUCGAUAGACCUGCCGACGGGGUGUCCUCUUAGAGGUCCUGCAGCCUUCCCUGUGGCCCUUGUCUUACGCCCACAGGGUGGCAGUUGGGGUGCUCUCUGCCUCAGCCUUAGCUGGGGUACCCACUCAGUGUAGGCGCCAGUGUGCCAUCCAGGUGUUGCCCGCGGGGCCGAGGCUGUCCCUUGAGGGGCUCCUUGGGGGCCUCUUGCACUGCGGGUCUUCUGGAUGUCACCCUCUGUCAGGGCACCACUGCUGCCCGGGGUGGGGACCCCCUGGCCUCCCCUCUCUCCUUGCUAACACCCCCUGCAUUGGAGGCCCCUUCGUGGGGUGCUGUGGGUUACAUGGAGGGGAUCCUGACACCCCUCACAGCAAGGGGCAGUGAGCAUGCGGCCCAGGAGCUCAGGGUGAGUGAAUGCGUGUGCCUUCGUAUGAGCACGAGUUUAGCGCUCAGAGUUUUUAGCUGCUUUUGAAUGCCCGGCAAAAGAACCAGGGGCUGACUUCUGUGUGGGGUCCAGUCCUGGCUCUGAUGCCCGGGGACUCGGGGUGACGUUUGCUGACACACCUGCCUGUCACGACCGCGGUUGGGGGUGCGGGCAGCUUUGGGCAGGGGCUUGUCUCCCACACCUGGACUCCGGCAGACUUUCCAUAGCGGGCCGCACAGCACCUGUUUUGGGCCUGGCUUCCGUGCAGCUCGGGAAGACCGCCAGGGCAGCCCGAGCGAGCAAGCGUGGCUCUGCACCGGUAAAUCCUGACUUAGAAAACUGGCGCUGGCUGCUGGGGCCGUGGGGUCUGUGCACCCAGUGCCAGGUGAGGGAAUGACCCGGGGCCCCCUUUCCCACCGCUGGUCCGCAAGAGUCCGAGCCCAUCCUAGUGUGGAAAUCCUCCAGUGCCGGAUUCCCACGAUGGCUGAGAUGCAGGAAGCCGUGUGCACACGCGGUCAGCACCUACGUAGGGAAAGGACUCUGCUGCCGCUUGGUCAGCCAGGACGCAGGGCCUGGGGCUGUAGGGGUCGCAGCACAAGCCGUCCUGUGGGGACGCCUGGUCGUCCCAGGCCACAGGGCAGGAGGAGCCACAUGCCCAGAGGAGGAUGAGGAGGGGAUGGUGGGGCUCAUCAGCCACCAGAGCACAAUCUCACCGGGGAGGGAGCUGGGUGGUCCCUCUCCCCAGCUGGCCCUACUGCUCCCCCCCCCCUUUUCCCUUCCUCUUGGCCACAGGUUACGGGCAGGUCAGCCCUCUGGCCACACAAAGGGCAGGAGCAGGCUGCCCGGGCCAGGUGGCCAUGGACCUGUGUUUGCUGGACUCUCUGGUCAUGAAGAGAAGACGUGAGCCCCUCACCACCCCCCCUGCCCCACCCACGAGGACUUUAGAUUCAGGGCAUGGCCACAGGUAGAUGAGAACCUGAUGGGAAGGAGGAAAACUACAGUUUCCAGGCUUUUACCAUGAACUUGAAUUAAACAAAAAUGGGGCAGUGUUUGCAUGCAGACCUGCCGCCAUGUUUAUUAGUUCAUCAAUCUCGUGACCCUGAAGACCAUGGGGAGUCGAUGCCCUCCGUCCCGUGUGUGCCCGGCUCCCGGCCCUGGCGCUUGGGGGCUGUGCGGGGGGCGGUGAUGUCAUGGACGGUAGGCCCUUCUCAGCUUGCCUGGAUGCUUCUGGAGAACAGCAAAUGGGGAAACCAUUUGAAAAUUGAAACAGUGGAAGCGUCCAUCUGUCAUUUCUACUCUGGUCAGAUUCGAAGUGGGGAGUGGGGACAGAAGUGUCGUGUUCUAAGCCUUGUUUCCCGCAACUUGGUGGAAGUCUGCUUUUGUGCUUACAAAAACAACAGCUUUUAGCUGAAGCGGUUUUGCGAGAUUGCAUCACGUUUGUUGAAAAGUCAUGGUGCUCGCCACUGGAGAAAGGUAUGGAGUAUUGGGCUGGUUUUUUACUAUUUCUAUGUUUUCCUGCUGCACCGUGGGUCGCUGGUCAAUUAGAUGCAGCGACAUCCACAGCAUGGGGCCUCGGGGAUGGCCCUCCCCUCUGGAAGGCACUCUGCCCGCUGACGUUCAUCAACAACCCCCCGCAGGUGCACAAGACCCCGCCCCCCCCAGGUGCCCAGAGGAGGCUGUGUGGCCCAGCACUUCCCCGGGAGAGAGCAGGCCUCUAGCUGGGCAGGUCCCGGCUAGGGAACCCUGUGGGAGCCACCCUACCCUUGGCCUUGGCUGUGGAGGUCUCCAUGGGAGGGAGGUGGGUCUCCUGCCCUCUCUCGUCCCCUUCCCGUGGGUCACAUGGCCUCGUCGAUGCCGCUUGGCCCACUCCCCUCCUGGAGCUGGAGUCCUGAGGGAAGGGCCUGGCAGUGCCAGGCAGGAGGGGUGGUCCUUUGAGGUUGCGGUGGGCAGGGCUGGUGUGGCUAUCACCUUCACCUGCAGGCAGUGAAGACCGUUGGGACCGACUCAGCAUUUAGGAGGGAGUGGGCUCUGGCUGACACCUGUCCUCUGUCCAUGGCCGCCAUGGCAGCCCCCACCCCCGGACACCCUCGCACACGGCAGGCACCUGGGCCCAUGGGUAGCAUGCUUGGGGUCUUCCCUCGGGGAGGAAGAAAGUGGGUGGACAAGGCCGGUGACCAGGGGCCACUGGCCACAGAGCAGCCCCCCCCACAGGCCCAGUCAGGCCAUGUCACAGCACCCCAGACUCCCCAGACCCUGUUCUCAGGCUUCCAGGGCCCCCACGCCUACACUGGGUCUUGGGAGGUCUCCAGCUGCGAGCCCACGUGAACGGAGAUACGGACACCAGUGCCUGACAGACCUGAGAGGUGGCCUUCAUGCUGGUCCCCAGGCUUCAUAGAGCACAUGCCUUCCCCUGGGAUGCCCCACAUGGGGGACACGCAGGGGCGUUUGCCCCUGUUCAGAACCUGGAGGCACCUGAAGAUGCUCAGGGCACAUGCCAGUACCCAGAUCCCGCCGGGCCCCUGGGGGUGGGGACUGGGUGCAGCGGUGUCCUCACGGUCCUGACUGUCCCCUUCUGUCUCCCCACUGCCAGGUCCGGCCUCUUCGGCCUGCCCCUGUCGACUCCGCUGCCCCAGCCCGAGGACCCCCCUGUCAACGGCUGCCACGGCCCGGCCCCCAAGGAGCAGGACGGAGAGGCGAUGCAGCUAGGGACGGGCCCUCUGCCGCCUCCCUGUGGGGAACAGCCCCCCGAGACCGCAGACCCCAAGCCGCCCCCACCCCUUGUGCCACCGUUCCCGCCGUAUUUCGAAGGCGCCCCCUUCCCUCCCCCGCUCUGGCUGAGAAGCACCUACCGGCAGUGGGUACCGCAGCCGCCACCCCGGACCAUCAAGAGGACCCGCCGACGCCUGUCCCGUAACCGCGACCCAGGCCGGCUCGCCCUGAGCCCCAUCCGCCUGCGGCCGCGCCAAGUACUCUGUGAGAAGUGCAAGAGCACUCUGAGCCCCCCCGAGGCCAGCCCCGGCCCCCCAGCUGCCCCUCGGCCCCGCCGGAGGGUGGGCAGUGGCCCCGGCCCCAACAGGGAGCCCCGCAAGCUCGAGGACCCUGAUGGUGGAGGGGACACGACGGCCACCAGCACGAGGAGAAGCAAGAGGGAAAGGCGGGAGGAGGACAAGGCCCGGGUCCCCCGGAGCCCGGCCAUCAAGAUCUCCUACAGCACGCCGCAGGGCAAAGGCGAGGUGGUGGAGAUCCCCUCCCGCGUGCACGGGUCCCUGGAGCCCUUCUGCCCCUCCCAGGCCCUGCACGGGGGCAGCCAGGAUCCCGGUGGGCCCUCCGCCUCUAUCCCCAAGCUGAAGCUGACGCGUCCCGGGCCCCCUGGCACCAACCUGCCGCCCCCCAAGAUCCGCUUGAAGCCCCACCCCCGGGGGGCUGGGGAGCGGGAACCCGUCUACAGGGCCGAGCUGGUGGAGGCACUCAAUGGCCAUGGGCGAGGCCCCCGGGCCGGCUCACCCGCUCUCCUCGGCCACAGCUCUGCCGGCAGUGGGCUGGUGGACUCUUCUUCUGGAAGCUCUGGCGAGGAUGAGGACUUCAAGCGGUGUCCCCCAGGUCAACACGGGCAAGAGAGCCUGGCUUUCCUCGCCACCUGCCCCAGGCGGGGGACAGAGUGUGCCAGCGAGUCAGUGUGGAGCAGCGACAGCCUGGACGAGUCCAAAUCGUCCAGCUCGGAAGUCACAUCACCAGACACAUGUGACCUGUCGUCAGGUGACGGUGCGUCUGUGCGGGCCUCGUCCAAGGACGUGAGGCAGACAGUCCCACCGCUCACGGUCCGCCUGCACACACAGAGCGUCUCCAAGUGCGUUACCGAGGACGGGAGGACGGUGGCCGUAGGGGACAUUGUGUGGGGUAAGAUUCACGGUUUCCCUUGGUGGCCAGCGCGUGUGCUUGACCUCAGUCUUAGCCAGAAGGAGGACGGGGAGCCCUCUUGGCAAGAAGCGAAAGUCUCGUGGUUUGGUUCUCCAACUACGUCGUUCUUGUCUACUUCAAAACUCUCCCCUUUCUCUGAGUUUUUCAAACUGAGAUUUAACCGUAAGAAGAAGGGGAUGUACCGCAAGGCUAUCACAGAGGCUGCAAACGCCGCCGAGCACGUGGCCCCGGAAAUAAGGGAGCUCUUAACCCAGUUUGAGACCUAACUCGGGCGACCAGGAACGUGCUGAGAAGGGACGAGGGCCCCCCAGCGAGCAUCUGGCGAGGAAGCUGACCUGGACUGGGGAUCCGGGAAGGCUUCCUGGAAGAGGUGACAUAUGGCUGAGCGCGAACGUGUCCUGCAGGGACCCCAGGAUGGCCGCGUGGGUGACCCAGCAUGGCCUCAUACCAGCGUCCUAGUGUAGUCACACCUGCAGCGCCUUUCCCACUGAAGGGGACGGUCCCCCAGUCCCAGGGGUUGGGACCUGAAGUGUGUGGGGCCCCAUUCACCCACGGCCAGACAGGAGGAUAAGGGGCCUGCAUGUCCACCCCGCUCAGGCCCACCAGCCUCUUCUUCGACGGGCCUGCUGGGCUCAGGGAGGGGUCCACUGGUGGGAGACUGGAGCCUGCGGGGCUUGUGCGGUGUGGACGGACUCGUUCCAGAGGAUCCGCUGCCCUGCCCGGGAGGCGGUGUGUGUGGGCGGUGGGUCCUGGCAGCUCCAUGGGCCACUUGGCGCUUUAGCUCCAUGGUGCUCAUUUCUCCCGGGUUACGGAGCCCCCGCAGGAGAGCCAGCCCGACCCCGCUCGCGGAGCUGCGGGGCCUGGCCUCACGCCUGCCUGGCGGGGUCACCCCCACGGAGGCCGGAAGCUUGUGUGGCGCUUGCUGGUGGGGCUGGGGCGGAGGCGUCCAGACCCUGGGUCCGCGGUCUCACUUUCCUUGUGGGUUCUCCCUUUUGGAACAAGGUCCUUGAGCUGCAAGCCCCAAACUGGCUUUUCUCUUUUCCAACCCUAAAUAAAAAGGUACUUCCACUUCUGAAGAUGGGUUUCUUAGCGGACUCCCCGCAUUGCUUUCAGGGAACUCAGGUCCUCGGUGAAGGUUGUAAUUAUUUUGUUCCCAAAGGAAAGCGAAGGCCUAUAAUUCUGAGCCUGCUGUGGGAACUUAGGCCCCGUCCCGCCUCCCGGCUGCUGGCACCAUCCCUGGUGCCUCCUCCGGGCCGGGCCCUGCGUGCCUGGGAGGGCCGGGGGGCCAGGUGGGGUGCAGGUGGGUGAGGCAGGGGCAGUGGCUACGCAGUGCCCAGGAGACUCAUGGGGUGUUUGCAGCUGCUCUUCCAGGCACCGGGUGCCUGGGGUGAGGGGACUUCUCCUGGUGGGCGGCGGGGGAAGGGGGCGUCCAGGCAGGUGCCCCUCCCCCGGUGAGAUGCCUGGCCUGGCAGAAGAGCCCCGUUUGCCCUGGUUUUCAUGGCUUCCAUGCCACCCCAGCUCCAAAUACUCACCCCUGGCCCCACCCCGCCUCUGCACCCCUGGCCCGAACCCCAACCCAGAGGCCCAGGGCCCUCGGGAAAGGACCCGCACUGCACCCCUGUGGAGGGGUCCUGCAGGCGGCCCCCCUUCUUCUGCGCUGCUACCCUGUCCGUUGCUUAGCCAUCCUGCAGGGACACUGGUCGCGCCAUAACUCAGGUGCAGUCUUGCCGGACAAAGGCAGGACCACUCGCCAGAGCAACCAGUGAGCUCUGUCCUGGGCGUGUGCGUGUCACACGAGCUCGUGACUCCCUUCCAUCCGCGCAAAUACUAUGGCUUUUGGUGUUCGUACUGUCCCGUCCCUGGCGGGUAGCUCACCAGCACCCGCAUCACCUCUGGCAACGGCCGUGCUCUGUGCCUGACGGGAUUCCGGCUCGCGGUGGGCAUUUCCCGUCCGGCCCUGGGGUCGGCCCUCCCCCAGGGGGUCCUGGGUCCUCUCCGGGGACAGAUGUUGGCCACCCCUCCUGCCACGAGGGGCCCUGAGCUUCCCCGCUGUUUCCCGGCUGUUUCUAGCCUCUGCCAAUGACAGAGAGAUCGUGACUUUGUGACUGAUUUUUCUCAUUUGGAAUUUUUACUUCUUUAACUUUUAUAUUUGCAUUUCUUCUCUCUUAUGCUGAAAAUCUCGGUUCUUCGUGAAACUCACGUCAUUAGAGUUGACCUCUGAACAACACGGGCUUGACCUUCGCGGGUCUGCUUGUAGGCAGGUUUUUCUGAGAAAUACACCGCAGUACCGUGAAUGUGUAAGAGCAAAUUUUUCUCUCCCUUCCAGUUUUCUUAAUAACACUUCCUUUCGUCUAGCUGAGUUCGUUGUAAGACUAGAGCGGGUCAUACGCACAACAUACAACAUACCUGUUCGGUGGCUGAGUCGUCGGUGGGGCUCCGAUCCCCAGCAGGCUGUUGGUAGUUACAUUUGGGGGGAGUCAGAGUUAUACGUGGAGUUUUGACCGUACGGGGGGCCACACCCUAAUCCCCGUUGUUAUUCAAGGGUCAACUGUGUGAACUUUCCGUGUAAACGUUAGCGUGUGUAUCGUAUGUGGAAUAUUAAAUGUACUAUGCCGUGUGUUUGACAUGUAAUGUUCCAGCCACCUAAUCUCCGUGGAACGUGUCAUAGGUCAUCAUGUCCAAACAACGGUACCGCAGUGUCACCCGUGGGCGAUUAGUGGGGACACUGCAAGGUUUCCCUGUGGAUCGUCUUGUCCCUGGGGUCUGGCCCUGCAUGGCUGGGGGCCCUGAUUCCCCUUCCAAAGUCAUCCAAACAAAUCCUCUCUCUCUGGUUGUUGUGAGCUCAAAACACAGAGUCGUUGAUUUCAGUCUACUUUCCCCUUCUACAUAUUCCUGUCUUUGUACAUUUUGGUGUGUGUUUCGUAGUCCUGUGCUCAUUUCUGAGGGUCCCACGUCAAAUCGAUGCGACCAGGCCCAUUUGGAGCACCCCACAGGGGUCAGCGUUGGCUCGGGGGUGGUUGAUCCUCCUAUGUUUGCGACAUAAGCAGACACAUACGUGAAGCCCCCUCUCCCCGCUUAGGCUUGUGCGGCAUCCCUAGUCCCCCAUGCCUCGCUUUCCCUCUGACCCGCACCGAGAAGAUGCUGGUGGCCAUGGCCAGAGGCCAUGGGCAGAGACCACGUCCUCGUCCUGGCAGAGCCCACGGGCACACCGCAGCUUGUUCAUCAGCAUCCUUACAGACUGCGGGCUGUCCAUGCUUUCCUCAGACAAGGCAGGCUAUGAGCUGGGGGUGGGAGCAGGUCACCAAGCAGGAAGGUGCCUGUGUCCUACAGGCCCUGGGGGACCUGAGACUCCGACCUGAUCCAGUGGUGGGGCUGCAGACUCCAGGGCAGGGAGGCCCCCGAGAACCCAGGUUUUCCCUGGGUCCUGGCUCGUGGCACCGGGUGGCAAAGCCGCAGUGCCCGCCUCACUCCACGCCUGCUGGCCGCCGCCUCUUCCUCAAGGCCGUGGCUCUGUGUCCCCUCCUUGGGGAGGGUCUCCCAGAGCUCCCUGUGCACAGCUGUGCCUGACAAGCCCCGCGCGGCAUGCUCACCCCGCACCCUGUUCUGUGUGCGGUCUCCCCGUCAGGUAAGUUCCGUGAGUUCAGACUCUGGCAGCAGGGGCCCUUGGCCCCAGGGGAUGGGCCGUGGCUCCCCAGAUGGGGACACUAGUUCAUGGGGGGCACGGAGCCAGGGUUCGCUCCCGGGCCGGGCUCUUCACUGUGCAUCCAGCCUGCCAGGGGCUGCUGGGCGGCCCUGCCUUGGCCUUGGAGACGAGAGCCAGUUGCCUGCUGUGUCCCUGCGCCCUCAGCAUGGGGGAGAUACUCCCCAGCUAUGGCUGGAAGGGUAACUGGACGGAGGAGGCAGCCUGGGAAGAGGGUCUGGGGCAGGUGGGCAGGUUGGCAUCUCCCCGAGGCACCUCUGGACUAUGAACCCUGAGCUGGAGGCUCCCACGUCCACGUGGACAGGUCACGUGGAUCACAGGCCCUCCCGGGGGCCCUCCCCGCACCGAGGGGGAGCACUGGCUGGGAGCCGGGCGCCUGGGCCUCUGGACCACGAGGUGUGGGCCGCAUGUCAACUUUGCGGAUAUCCUGGGGAAACCUGACUCCCAACAGCGAUCUUCCCAUCCUGCAUUAUGGAGGAGUUGGCAUUUCCCAUGCGGGCAUUCCUGGGACUCGUCCCCUUCCAGCGGGCGUGACUGACCCUGAUUCUGAAGGCCUCCUGCCGGCGUCUCUGAACUUCCCAAGGGAGACAGGGCUGCACCCUCAUUUCCUUGGCCUGGGGACUCCCACGCCUGGGCCUGGGUCUGCAGUGCGGCGUGGGUGUAUGUGGCUACAGGAACCAUGGGGACCAAACAGGUGGCGUAGGGCCUCGUCCUGCAGAGCGGGGUGCUCGGUCCACGACAGAGGCCACGCUGGUCUCAGCAGGGUUGAGGGUGUGGCUGUGCUUGGCCAAGAGCCAAGCUGGAGGGACAGGGCCCCGUGGCAGAGUGCCUGUGUGUGUGGCCCGUGGAAGGCCAGGUGCUGUGGGGCUCUUGGGGCUGGGCAUGGGGUCACAGGUUCAGGGUGGGAGCGUGAGUGGCCACUGCGUGGCGGACACUUAUGAGGGGCGGGGUCGUGUGUGUCAGGCAUCUGCGUGGCUCCUGGGGGCCCUGCAUGUGUUCUGUGUCUGCGGAUGGUGGCGCGGUGAGCAGCUGUGGGCCUUCGCCUUGCUGCGGGACGCACGGGGGUUCCUGCUCCCGACGGGCCGCUGUACCCAUGCUACCGUGUGCAGCCGGCUGCGGUUGGGCGAACAGGCCUUAAGUGCGGAGAGCCGCAGGUCUGGUCGCCCGUCUUGGGGCCUGAGCGCUGGCCGCUUGCGCCACGCUUCCCGCCUGAUGCCCUCGCGGCCCAGGCCCUCCUGGUCACCGCCGUCUUCCCCGCAAGC